ACAGUCACACAUUAGAUACCCCCGUAGUCCAGGGUGUAAACGCUGCGGGCUUGGUGUUGGGGGUCCUUUGAGGGCGCCCAGUGCCGGAGAGAAGUUGUUAAGCCUGCUGCUUGGGGAGUACGUCCGCAAGGAUGAAACUUAAAGGAAUUGGCGGGGGAGCACCGCAACGGGAGGAGCGUGCGGUUCAAUUGGAUUCAACGCCGGACAACUCACCAGGAGCGACGGUUACAUGAAGGCCAGGCUGAUGACCUUGCCUGAUUUUCCG
rnacentral:rRNA from 1 species